GAUGAACGCUGGCGGCGUGCCUAAUACAUGCAAGUCGAGCGAACGGACGAGAAGCUUGCUUCUCUGAUGUUAGCGGCGGACGGGUGAGUAACACGUGGAUAACCUACCUAUAAGACUGGGAUAACUUCGGGAAACCGGAGCUAAUACCGGAUGAUAUUUUGAACCGCAUGGUUCAAAAGUGAAAGACGGUCUUGCUGUCACUUAUAGAUGGAUCCGCGCUGCAUUAGCUAGUUGGUAAGGUAACGGCUUACCAAGGCAACGAUGCAUAGCCGACCUGAGAGGGUGAUCGGCCACACUGGAACUGAGACACGGUCCAGACUCCUACGGGAGGCAGCAGUAGGGAAUCUUCCGCAAUGGGCGAAAGCCUGACGGAGCAACGCCGCGUGAGUGAUGAAGGUCUUCGGAUCGUAAAACUCUGUUAUUAGGGAAGAACAUAUGUGUAAGUAAAUGUGCACAUCUUGACGGUACCUAAUCAGAAAGCCACGGCUAACUACGUG
rnacentral:rRNA from 1 species